rnacentral:lncRNA from 1 species
UGUGCAAUCAUGUAUUAUGCGACACCUAUUAAAAAUUAUAUAUUUUCUUUCCCAAUUUAUUUUAACUCGAAAAAAAUAUUAUUUUAGGUGAAGUAAUUUAACAGGUAUUGACGAUGGGAAAAAAAUCGGUAUCAAAAAAAAUAUGAGAGAGGAAAAAUAGAAUACUAAAAAUAAAAAAGGAACCGACAAAAAAAUGAAAAUAAAAACGAAACCGAAAAAAAGACCAGGCCCCUUGUCGCAACGUGAUCGAACGAUUACGGGCUCCCCCAAUUUUCUCCCUUUUUUCCUCUUUUUUUUAUUGAUUUUUG